rnacentral:rRNA from 1 species
CUAUACAUGCAAGUCGAGCGGACAGAAGGGAGCUUGCUCCCGGAUGUUAGCGGCGGACGGGUGAGUAACACGUGGGUAACCUGCCUGUAAGACUGGGAUAACUCCGGGAAACCGGAGCUAAUACCGGAUAGUUCCUUGAACCGCAUGGUUCAAGGAUGAAAGACGGUUUCGGCUGUCACUUGCAGAUGGACCCGCGGCGCAUUAGCUAGUUGGUGGGGUAAUGGCUCACCAAGGCGACGAUGCGUAGCCGACCUGAGAGGGUGAUCGGCCACACUGGGACUGAGACACGGCCCAGACUCCUACGGGAGGCAGCAGUAGGGAAUCUUCCGCAAUGGACGAAAGUCUGACGGAGCAACGCCGCGUGAGUGAUGAAGGUUUUCGGAUCGUAAAGCUCUGUUGUUAGGGAAGAACAAGUGCGAGAGUAACUGCUCGCACCUUGACGGUACCUAACCAGAAAGCCACGGCUAACUACGUGCCAGCAGCCGCGGUAAUACGUAGGUGGCAAGCGUUGUCCGGAAUUAUUGGGCGUAAAGGGCUCGCAGGCGGUUUCUUAAGUCUGAUGUGAAAGCCCCCGGCUCAACCGGGGAGGGUCAUUGGAAACUGGGAAACUUGAGUGCAGAAGAGGAGAGUGGAAUUCCACGUGUAGCGGUGAAAUGCGUAGAGAUGUGGAGGAACACCAGUGGCGAAGGCGACUCUCUGGUCUGUAACUGACGCUGAGGAGCGAAAGCGUGGGGAGCGAACAGGAUUAGAUACCCUGGUAGUCCACGCCGUAAACGAUGAGUGCUAAGUGUUAGGGGGUUUCCGCCCCUUAGUGCUGCAGCUAACGCAUUAAGCACUCCGCCUGGGGAGUACGGUCGCAAGACUGAAACUCAAAGGAAUUGACGGGGGCCCGCACAAGCGGUGGAGCAUGUGGUUUAAUUCGAAGCAACGCGAAGAACCUUACCAGGUCUUGACAUCCUCUGACAACCCUAGAGAUAGGGCUUUCCCUUCGGGGACAGAGUGACAGGUGGUGCAUGG